CCGUUUCUAACCUUAGUCCUUCCUGCAGCAGCUUCAUCUCAUUCUGGCUCCUAAGAGCUGGACCUGCUCACCCUGCCCUCUCCUCCUAGGGGCCAGGAGACCAUCUCUUAGUAAGUGAAAGGGAUGCAGUGGUCCUGGGGGAUGGCGGCAGUGGGAUGGACCGCUGAUGUUACCUCCACUGUCAUAAGCAAGGAAACUAAGCUCUGAGGAACCACCCAGCUACUGAGAGGUGGAGCCAGGAUUUGAACCAUUCAGGACCCUGGCAGAGAAGGCUGCCGGGGGGCCGGCCACCACCGUGUGGGGUUAGUUCCAGGCAGCAGCGUCCCGGUGGCUUUCAUCCUUCACCUUUGUACAUCCUGGCCGUGUUUGACAUCUUUACGGGUGGAGCCCCAUCACCUCUGCUUCCAAAACAUUUCCAUCACCCGAAAUGGGAAACCCCAUUCCUCCCGCCGAGCCCUGGCAACCAACAAUCUGUGCUCAUCUCUAUGAUGUGCCCACUCUGGGCAUUUUGUAUAAAUGGAAUCAUGU
rnacentral:lncRNA from 10 species